CCUACGGGAGGCAGCAGUGGGGAAUAUUGCACAAUGGGCGCAAGCCUGAUGCAGCGACGCCGCGUGAGGGAUGACGGCCUUCGGGUUGUAAACCUCUUUCAGUAGGGAAGAAGCGUGAGUGACGGUACCUGCAGAAGAAGCGCCGGCUAACUACGUGCCAGCAGCCGCGGUAAUACGUAGGGCGCAAGCGUUAUCCGGAAUUAUUGGGCGUAAAGAGCUCGUAGGCGGUUUGUCGCGUCUGCCGUGAAAAUCCGGGGCUCAACUCCGGAUCUGCGGUGGGUACGGGCAGACUAGAGUGAUGUAGGGGAGACUGGAAUUCCUGGUGUAGCGGUGAAAUGCGCAGAUAUCAGGAGGAACACCGAUGGCGAAGGCAGGUCUCUGGGCAUUAACUGACGCUGAGGAGCGAAAGCAUGGGGAGCGAACAGGAUUAGAUACCCUGGUAGUCCAUGCCGUAAACGUUGGGCACUAGGUGUGGGGGACAUUCCACGUUUUCCGCGCCGUAGCUAACGCAUUAAGUGCCCCGCCUGGGGAGUACGGCCGCAAGGCUAAAACUCAAAGGAAUUGACGG
rnacentral:rRNA from 1 species